GAUGAACGCUGGCGGCGUGCCUCAUACAUGCAAGUCGAGCGAAGCGGGGACGGGUGAGUAACACGUGGAUAACCUCCUAUAAGACUGGGAUACCUUCGGGCAACCGGAGCUAAACCGGCUACUUAUAGAUGGAUCCGCGCUGCCUUAGCUAGUUGGUAAGGUAACGGCUUACCAAGGCAACGAUGCAUAGCCGACCUGAGAGGGGGAUCGGCCACACUGGAACUGAGACACGGUCCAGACGACUACGGGAGGCAGCAGGAGGGAAGCGUCCGCAAUGGGCGAAAGCCGGACGGAGCAACGCCGCGGGAGUGAUGAAGGUCGUCGGAGCGGAAAACGCUGUUAUGAGGGAAGCGGGACCUAAUCAGAAAGCCACGGCGAACGACGUGCCAGCAGCCGCGGUAAGAC
rnacentral:rRNA from 1 species